GCUCCUUCAUCUUCCUUCUUAUUCAGUCUACUGUACAUUAAUUCUAUAGAUACUACUUGAGUGUUGUACGUGUGAGAAUUACUCGUGGGUUAAAGGGUUAGUACGUGUAUUUGCAACUGAUGGCCGGAUAGCAACUCAUACUCUGCGACAUUACUAGCACAACUACCUUCUUAGCAAAAUACAUUACUUAACUUAUUUUUGACAUGCUCUGCUAUUACUGAUGACCAUUAAGCAAGGAGGUAAAAUCUUAGGUAGGUAUUCUGAGAUGCUAGUAAUACUGAAACAAUGUUGCUGUGCUUGUAAAGUUCACCUUAAGCCUGCUGAUGUCUAACUGAAAUUCUUGACUAGUGUUUCUUCCACCCAGCUCACUGCUACUCCUUCUGAAAUGGCUUACACUUCACUGAACUCUUCUUCCUGACUCCUCCCACUGGUCAGCUGCCCUUUCCUUACCCCAUGUCGCCCUCCAUGAAUGAUCAGGUCACCAUAUUGCUACGAUGGGGGUGACUUAGUGGUCCUUCCCAGUAAGGAUUGGAUGAUCCUAAAAGAGUUUCUAAUGAUCCUAAAAGAGUUUCUAGUAUAUUGUGAAGUGAAGAGUGCGUUGCUUUCUCAGGCUUGGUGACUUCUGAACUCCUUUCAGCUUUCUACUGAGGACUUAUACUGCUGGAAGGAACUCUAGAAUUCUCUCAUUGGCUGCCUAAAAGGAACUGGUACUAUUGCUGUUACAUGUUGGUCGGCCAGGUGCUCUCCUCCUCCUAGAAACUCAUGGCAACUCAACGAGUACAACUACUAGUAUGGCAGGCUGGAGUGGUUGUGACUCGCUGUUAGCACUGUGAACUAGAUGUGAAAAGAAGACUGAUGUGUAACAUAUUGUAAAGCUACAUUGAUUUGAUGAUGUGGUUAUAACUUUAAGAAUUAACAUCUGUGCAUUCUCAUGA